rnacentral:rRNA from 1 species
UACAGAGGGGGCAAGCGUUAUUCGGAAUUAUUGGGCGUAAAGAGCUCGUAGGCGGCUUGUCGCGUCGGAUGUGAAAGCCCGGGGCUUAACUCCGGGUCUGCAUUCGAUACGGGCAGGCUAGAGUUCGGUAGGGGAGAUCGGAAUUCCUGGUGUAGCGGUGAAAUGCGCAGAUAUCAGGAGGAACACCGGUGGCGAAGGCGGAUCUCUGGGCCGAUACUGACGCUGAGGAGCGAAAGCGUGGGGAGCGAACAGG